UUGGAGGGCAAGUCUGGUGCCAGCAGCCGCGGUAAUUCCAGCUCCAAUAGCGUAUAUUAAAGUUGUUGCCGUUAAAAAGCUCGUAGUUGAACCUUGGACCUGGCUGAUCUGUCCUCCUAAUCGAGCGCACGGAUUCGGUCGGGUCUUUCCUUCUGGGGAGCCCUAUGCCCUUCACUGGGUGUAGUGGGGAACCAGGACUUUUACCUUGAAAAAAUUAGAGUGUUCAAAGCAGGCCUUUGCUCGAAUACAUUAGCAUGGAAUAAUAGAAUAGGACAUCGGUUCUAUUUUGUUGGUUUCUAGGACCGCUGUAAUGAUUAAUAGGGAUAGUCGGGGGCGUCAGUAUUCAAUUGUCAGAGGUGAAAUUCUUGGAUUUAUUGAAGACUAACUACUGCGAAAGCAUUCGCCAAGGAUGUUUUCAUUAAUCAGUGAACGAAAGUUAGGGGAUNGAAGACGAUCAGAUACCGUCGUAGUCUUAACCAUAAACUAUGCCGACUAGGGAUCGGACGGUGGUUUUUUUAUKCCCCGUUCGGCGCCUUACGGGAAAC
rnacentral:rRNA from 1 species